rnacentral:rRNA from 1 species
CAGUAGCCGCGGGAAUACGUAGGGUGCGAGCGUUAAUCGGAAUUACUGGGCGUAAAGCGUGCGCAGGCGGUUAUAUAAGACAGAUGUGAAAUCCCCGGGCUCAACCUGGGACCUGCAUUUGUGACUGUAUAGCUAGAGUACGGUAGAGGGGGAUGGAAUUCCGCGUGUAGCAGUGAAAUGCGUAGAUAUGCGGAGGAACACCGAUGGCGAAGGCAAUCCCCUGGACCUGUACUGACGCUCAUGCACGAAAGCGUGGGGAGCAAACAGGAUUAGAUACCCCAGUAGUCCCUGUCUCUUAUAA